GAAAUAAUCUGCCCCUAAGUCCAGUUUUACUACAAUUAGUCCAAGACGAUGCAGUUGCUACUCAUAUAUAGAAUUCUUCUCUCUUCGAUUGAGAUCAUUAGUAGCCUGCGAACAUUGGCGGUGGUGGUGAUGCGUAUUGGUGGCCGAUGAACGGUGGUAUGAUGAAUUCAUCGUCACUUGGAGCUGGUGCAUGAGCCGGAGGGGUCUCUUUCUUUUCCACCGGUGCUGGCGGUGGUGAUUGGACUGGUGGGGAGUUGAUCUUGGGCGGUCUUGGCGGAGGAGAGUAGACUACUGGUGGAGAUUGCGACGGCGGUGGAGAAAAGACCGGUGGUGGCGGUGAAUAAACAGGUGGUGGUGGCGGGGGGGAAUGAACCGGUGGAGGCGGUGAGUGAACAGGUGCUGGCGGCGGCGGCGAAUGGACUGGGGGAG